rnacentral:rRNA from 1 species
GACGAACGCUGGCGGCGUGCCUAAUACAUGCGAGUUGAGCGAUGAAGCUUGGUGCUUGCCCCAAUUUGAAGAGCAGCGAACGGGUGAGUAACGCGUGGGGAAUCUGCCUUUGAGCGGGGGACAACAUUUGGAAACGAAUGCUAAUACCGCAUAACAACUUUAAACAUAAGUUUUAAGUUUGAAAGAUGCAAUUGCAUCACUCAAAGAUGAUCCCGCGUUGUAUUAGCUAGUUGGUGAGGUAAAGGCUCACCAAGGCGAUGAUACAUAGCCGACCUGAGAGGGUGAUCGGCCACAUUGGGACUGAGACACGGCCCAAACUCCUACGGGAGGCAGCAGGAGGGAAUCGUCGGCAAGGGACGAAAGUCUGACCGAGCAACGCCGCGUGAGGGAAGAAGGGUGUCGGAUCGUAAAACUCGGUUGGUAGAGAAGAACGUUGGUGAGAGUGGAAAGCUCAUCAAGUGACGGUAACUACCCAGAAAGGGACGGCUAACUACGUG